UACGUAGGGGGCAAGCGUUGUCCGGAUUUACUGGGCGUAAAGAGCGUGUAGGCGGCCACGCAGGUCCGUUGUGAAAACUCGAGGCUCAACCUCGAGACGUCGAUGGAAACCAUCUGGCUAGAGUCCGGAAGAGGAGAGUGGAAUUCCGUGGAUGUAGCGGUGAAAUGCGCAGAUAUCAGGAAGAACACCCGUGGCGAAGGCGGCUCUCUGGUACGUGACUGACGCUGAGACGCGAAAGCGUGGGGAGCAAACAGG
rnacentral:rRNA from 1 species